rnacentral:lncRNA from 1 species
AAAGAUGGUGGUAGGCGAUAUUUUGGAUGGACUUAUUUUAACAAUUUGAGCAACUAUUAUCAGGAGAUGCUUCUUUCCUUUGUACUAAUAAAUUAUGUAAAAAUAGACAUGUCCAUUUAAAACUAUUUUCAUAAUAAUACUAAGGUGGCAGAGUAGUCAUAGAGAAAUUUCUUUUAUUUACAAAAGGAAAACUUCUAGCAUUGUUCAGGCAAUUUUUUUUAGAAGGUGAUUAUGUGGUACUUACACAUAGUGAUCGGUUAUAUGCAUAAAACUCUAAUUCAAAC